rnacentral:sRNA from 1 species
GCCGGGCGUGGUGGUGCACGCCUGUAAUCCCAGUGGCUCAGGAGGCUGAGGCAGGAGGAUUGCAAGUUCAAAGCCAGCCUCAG